rnacentral:rRNA from 1 species
GACGAACGCUGGCGGCGUGCUUAACACAUGCAAGUCGAACGAUGAAGCCGGAGCUUGCUCUGGUGAAUUAGUGGCGAACGGGUGAGUAACACGUGAGUAACCUGCCCUUGACUCUGGGAUAACUGCGGGAAACUGUAGCUAAUACCGGAUACGACCCUCGGAGGCAUCUCCUGGGGGUGGAAAGAAUUUCGGUCAAGGAUGGACUCGCGGCCUAUCAGCUAGUUGGUGAGGUAAAGGCUCACCAAGGCGACGAUGGGUAGCCGGCCUGAGAGGGUGACCGGCCACACUGGGACUGAGACACGGCCCAGACUCCUACGGGAGGCAGCAGUGGGGAAUAUUGCACAAUGGGCGCAAUCCUGAUGCAGCAACGCCGCGUGAGGGAUGACGGCCUUCGGGUUGUAAACCUCUUUUAGCAGGGAAGAAGCGAAAGUGACGGUACCUGCAGAAAAAGCACCGGCUAACUACGUGCCAGCCGCCGCGGUAA